UAUGGUAAUUGUGUCCGCCGCGGUAAUACGGAGGAUCCGAGCGUUAUCCGGAUUUAUUGGGUUUAAAGGGAGCGUAGGUGGACUGGUAAGUCAGUUGUGAAAGUUUGCGGCUCAACCGUAAAAUUGCAGUUGAUACUGUCAGUCUUGAGUACAGUAGAGGUGGGCGGAAUUCGUGGUGUAGCGGUGAAAUGCUUAGAUAUCACGAAGAACUCCGAUUGCGAAGGCAGCUCACUGGACUGCAACUGACACUGAUGCUCGAAAGUGUGGGUAUCAAACAGG
rnacentral:rRNA from 1 species